GAAAGGCAUUUAUGAUAACCUGCCGACAGGCAACAGUAGCGGCAUGGUGAGAUAGAGGAAAGGAGGGUACAAAACGAGAAAAGAUCGAGACAGAGACAAACCGACAAAAUUGACUCGGUGAUGGCGGGGCUACGCGGCCAUGUGUC
ensembl:ncRNA F09C8.5 ncRNA